rnacentral:rRNA from 1 species
GAUGAACGCUGGCGGCGUGCUUAACACAUGCAAGUCGAACGAAGCACUUUAUUUGAUUUCCUUCGGGACUGAUUAUUUUGUGACUGAGUGGCGGACGGGUGAGUAACGCGUGGGUAACCUGCCUUGUACAGGGGGAUAACAGUUGGAAACCGCUGCUAAUACCGCAUAAGCGCACGGCAUCGCAUGAUGCAGUGUGAAAAACUCCGGUGGUAUAAGAUGGACCCGCGUUGGAUUAGCUAGUUGGUGAGGUAACGGCCCACCAAGGCGACGAUCCAUAGCCGACCUGAGAGGGUGACCGGCCACAUUGGGACUGAGACACGGCCCAAACUCCUACGGGAGGCAGCAGUGGGGAAUAUUGCACAAUGGGCGAAAGCCUGAUGCAGCGACGCCGCGUGAGCGAAGAAGUAUUUCGGUAUGUAAAGCUCUAUCAGCAGGGAAGAUAAUGACGGUACCUGACUAAGAAGCACCGGCUAAAUACGUG